rnacentral:rRNA from 1 species
UACGUAGGGUGCGAGCGUUGUCCGGAAUUAUUGGGCGUAAAGAGCUCGUAGGCGGUGUGUCACGUCGGCCGUGAAAACCUGCAGCUUAACUGUGGGCGUGCGGUCGAUACGGGCAUCACUGGAGUUCGGCAGGGGAGACUGGAAUUCCUGGUGUAGCGGUGAAAUGCGCAGAUAUCAGGAGGAACACCGGUGGCGAAGGCGGGUCUCUGGGCCGAUACUGACGCUGAGGCGCGAAAGCUAGGGGAGCGAACGGG